ACCUGGUUGAUCCUGGCAGUAGUCAUAUGCUUGUCUCAAAGAUUAAGCCAUGGAUGUCUAAGUAUAAGCAACUUGUACUGGGAAACUGCGAAUGGCUCAUUAAAUCAGUUAUCGUUUAUUUGAUAGUACCUUACUACAUGGAUACCUGGGGUAAUUCUAGAGCUAAUACAUGCUAAAAACCCCGACUUCAGGAAGGGGUGUAUUUAUUAGAUAAAAAACCAACGCCCUUCGGGGCUCCUUGGUGAAUCAUAAUAACUUAACGAAUCGCAUGGCCUUGCGCCGGCGAUGGUUCAUUCAAAUUUCUGCCCUAUCAACUUUCGAUGGUAGGAUAGUGGCCUACCAUGGUGGCAACGGGUAACGGGGAAUUAGGGUUCGAUUCCGGAGAGGGAGCCUGAGAAACGGCUACCACAUCCAAGGAAGGCAGCAGGCGCGCAAAUUACCCAAUCCCGAUACGGGGAGGUAGUGACAAUAAAUACUGAUACGGGGCUCUUUUGGGUCUCGUAAUUGGAAUGAGAACAAUUUAAAUCCCUUAACGAGGAACAAUUGGAGGGCAAGUCUGGUGCCAGCAGCCCGCGGUAAUUCCAGCUCCAAUAGCGUAUAUUAAGGUUGUUGCAGUUAAAAAGCUCGUAGUUGAACCUUGGGUCUGGCUGGCCGGUCCGCCUCACCGCGAGUACUGGUCCGGCUGGACCUUUCCUUCUGGGGAACCUCAUGGCCUUCACUGGCUGUGGGGGGAACCAGGACUUUUACUGUGAAAAAAUUAGAGUGUUCAAAGCAGGCCUUUGCUCGAAUACAUUAGCAUGGAAUAAUAGAAUAGGACGUGUGGUUCUAUUUUGUUGGUUUCUAGGACCGCCGUAAUGAUUAAUAGGGAUAGUCGGGGGCGUCAGUAUUCAGCUGUCAGAGGUGAAAUUCUUGGAUUUGCUGAAGACUAACUACUGCGAAAGCAUUCGCCAAGGAUGUUUUCAUUAAUCAGGAACGAAAGUUAGGGGAUCGAAGACGAUCAGAUACCGUCGUAGUCUUACCCAUAAACUAUGCCGACUAGGGAUCGGACGGGAUUCUAUAAUGACCCGUUCGCCCCCUUAGGAGAAAUCAAAGUUUUUGGGUUCUGGGGGGAGUAUGGUCCCAAGCCUGAAACUUAAA
rnacentral:rRNA from 1 species